rnacentral:rRNA from 1 species
UACGAAGGGGACUAGCGUUGUUCGGAAUUACUGGGCGUAAAGCGUACGCAGGCGGCUUUGCAAGACAGGUGUGAAAUCCCCGGGCCUAACCUGGGAACUGCAUUUGUGACUGCAUGGCUAGAGUUUGUCAGAGGGGGGUGGAAUUCCACGUGUAGCAGUGAAAUGCGUAGAUAUGUGGAGGAACACCGAUGGCGAAGGCAGCCCCCUGGGAUGUGACUGACGCUCAUGUACGAAAGCGUGGGGAGCAAACAGG